rnacentral:rRNA from 1 species
AUGAGUAAUGGUGCUUUCUCAAUGUACUCCUAGAAUGUACGUGGUCUAGGCGAUGAUGCUAAAUGCUCAGACGUUCUCUCUGAAUUGGUUGCGGUCAAGCCACACAUUAUCCUCUUGUAAGAAUCAAAACUCGACACCUUCUCUGAUCCCAAACUAAGAUCCUUCUUGCCAUGACAACUCGACCAAAUGUUCUCGUUACUAGCUAUGGGCACUUUGGGUGGCACCAUUUCUGCCAUCAACUCUGCUUCAUUCCAAGUUGUUUCCUACUCACACCUAACCUUCUCUUCCACCCUGAUCCUGCAAUCAACUGCGUGCGUCCACAACAUUGCCAUCACAAAUAUAUACACCCCCUCAUCACACUCGCUCAAACAAGCCUUCCUAAACAAACUCUUAUCUAUCUCACAACCAGACGACACCCCUUGGAUUAUCGCUGGCGACUUCAACCUUAUCCGCUUCCCCUCUGACAAAAACAACCCUGCCUUCCAUCAGGCUGAGGCCGAUUCGUUCAACCAAACCCUAGAUGACUUAGCUCUCUAAGAGCUGUGGCUUCUUGAUCGCCGCUUCACAUGGUCAAACAAUAGAGCCAUGCCCACCAUAGAACGGAUCGAUCGCAUUUUCUUUAACUUAGCGUGGGCUGACGCCUUCCCUAAUACUUUGCUUUUCUCAUGUACUCGUUUCACAUCCGACCAUGUCCCCCUCCUCAUACAUGUCACCACCACCAUCCCACGAUCCAAUUUCUUUAAAUACGAGGCUGGAUGGGCCAACUUCCGGCCUUGUGGCGACAUUAUCAGGCGAAUUUGGGCCAAACAGCCCACAUCACCACUCAACUCUGCCGCCACUCUUGUCUCCGCGAUCAAAAAAUCACGUACUAGUCUAAAAAAAUGGACACAUUCACGUAUCCCCACUGAAAGGAUCGAGAAGAGGUGUCUAGAGGGGGGUGAUUAG